UUGGAGGGCAAGUCUGGUGCCAGCAGCCGCGGUAAUUCCAGCUCCAAUAGCGUAUAUUAAAGUUGUUGCAGUUAAGAAGCUCGUAGUUGAAUUUCGGGAUCAGAUUGUCGGUCGUGCCUCGGUACGCACUGGUAUUAUUGGUUCCUACCUUCUGAAGAACCGCGAUGUCAUUAAUUUGGUGUCGUGGGGAAUCAGGACUGUUACUUUGAAAAAAUUAGAGUGUUUAAAGCAGGCUUACGCUUGAAUACAUUAGCAUGGAAUAAUGAAAUAGGACGUUUGAUUCUAUUUUGUUGGUUUCUAGGAUUGACGUAAUGAUUAAUAGGGAUAGUUGGGGGCAUUAGUAUUCAAUUGUCAGAGGUGAGAUUCUUGGAUUUAUAGAAGACUAACUACUGCGAAAGCAUUUGCCAAGGAUGUUUUCAUUAAUCAAGAACGAAAGUUAGGGGAUCGAAGACGAUCAGAUACCGUCGUAGUCUUAACCAUAAACUAUGCCGACUAGGGAUCGGAUGAUGUUAAUUUUUUAAUGACUCAUUCGGCGCCUUACGGGAAACCAAAGUGUUUGGGUUC
rnacentral:rRNA from 1 species